rnacentral:rRNA from 1 species
AGCGAACGCUGGCGGCAGGCUUAACACAUGCAAGUCGAGCGGGUGUAGCAAUACAUCAGCGGCAGACGGGUGAGUAACGCGUGGGAACGUACCUUUUGGUUCGGAACAACCCAGGGAAACUUGGGCUAAUACCGGAUAAGCCCUUACGGGGAAAGAUUUAUCGCCGAAAGAUCGGCCCGCGUCUGAUUAGCUAGUUGGUGAGGUAACGGCUCACCAAGGCGACGAUCAGUAGCUGGUCUGAGAGGAUGAUCAGCCACAUUGGGACCGAGACACGGCCAAAACUCCUACGGGAGGCAGCAGUGGGGAAUAUUGGACAAUGGGGGCAACCCUGAUCCAGCCAUGCCGCGUGAGUGAUGAAGGCCCUAGGGUUGUAAAGCUCUUUUGUGCGGGAAGAUAAUGACGGUACCGCAAGAAUAAGCCCCGGCUAACUUCGUGCCAGCCGCCGCCGUAA